rnacentral:rRNA from 1 species
GACGAACGCUGGCGGCGUGCUUAACACAUGCAAGUCGAACGGAAAGGCCCUGCUUUUGUGGGGUGCUCGAGUGGCGAACGGGUGAGUAACACGUGAGUAACCUGCCCUUGACUUUGGGAUAACUUCAGGAAACUGGGGCUAAUACCGGAUAGGAGCUCCUGCUGCAUGGUGGGGGUUGGAAAGUUUCGGCGGUUGGGGAUGGACUCGCGGCUUAUCAGCUUGUUGGUGGGGUAGUGGCUUACCAAGGCUUUGACGGGUAGCCGGCCUGAGAGGGUGACCGGCCACAUUGGGACUGAGAUACGGCCCAGACUCCUACGGGAGGCAGCAGUCGGGAAUAUUGCACAAUGGGCGGAAGCCUGAUGCAGCAACGCCGCGUGCGGAAUGACGGCCUUCGGGUUGUAAACCGCUUUCGCCUGUGACGAAGCGUGAGUGACGGUAAUGGGUAAAGAAGCACCGGCUAACUACGUG